GACGAACGCUGGCGGCGUGCUUAGCACAUGCAAGUCGAGCGGUAAGGCCCUUUCGGGGGUACACGAGCGGCGAACGGGUGAGUAACACGUGGGUGACCUGCCCUCAGCUCUGGGAUAAGCCUGGGAAACUGGGUCUAAUACCGGAUAUGACUCCAUGACGCAUGUUGUGGGGUGGAAAGCCUUGUGCGGCUGAGGAUGGGCCCGCGGCCUAUCAGCUUGUUGGUGGGGUGAUGGCCUACCAAGGCGACGACGGGUAGCCGGCCUGAGAGGGCGACCGGCCACACUGGGACUGAGACACGGCCCAGACUCCUACGGGAGGCAGCAGUGGGGAAUCUUGCGCAAUGGGCGAAAGCCUGACGCAGCGACGCCGCGUGAGGGAU
rnacentral:rRNA from 1 species